GGGAUUGCCCUAGUAACGGCGAGUGAAGCGGCAACAGCUCAAAUUUGAAAUCUGGCUCACGCCCGAAUUGUAAUUUGCAGAGGAUGCUUUUGGCGCGGCGCCUUCUGAGUUCCCUGGAACGGGACGCCACAGAGGGUGAGAGCCCCGUAUAGUUGGACGCCUAGCCUUUGUAAAGCUCCUUCGACGAGUCGAGUAGUUUGGGAAUGCUGCUCAAAAUGGGAGGUAAAUUUCUUCUAAAGCUAAAUACCGGCCAGAGACCGAUAGCGCACAAGUAGAGUGAUCGAAAGAUGAAAAGCACUUUGAAAAGAGGGUUAAACAGCACGUGAAAUUGUUGAAAGGGAAGCGCUCGUGACCAGACUUGCGCCGUGGGAAUCAUCCAGCGUUCUCGCUGGUGCACUUCGCACGGCUCAGGCCAGCAUCGGUUCUUCGAGGGGGAUAAAGGCGCCGGGAACGUGGCUCUCUCCGGGGAGUGUUAUAGCCCGGCGCGCAAUACCCUUGGGGGGACCGAGGUACGCGCUCCGCAAGGAUGCUGGCGUAAUGGUCACCAGCGACCCGUCUUGAAACACGGACCAAGGAGUCAAGCAUUAGGGCGAGUGUUUGGGUGUCAAACCCGCACGCGAAAUGAAAGUGAACGUAGGUGAGAGCUUCGGCGCAUCAUCGACCGAUCCUGAUGUAUUCGGAUGGAUUUGAGUAAGAGCCUUACCGCUUGGACCCGAAAGAUGGUGAACUAUGCUUGUAUAGGGUGAAGCCAGAGGAAACUCUGGUGGAGGCUCGCAGCGGUUCUGACGUGCAAAUCGAUCGUCAAAUAUGAGCAUGGGGGCGAAAGACUAAUCGAACCAUCUAG
rnacentral:rRNA from 1 species